rnacentral:rRNA from 1 species
CAGUAGCCGCGGUAAUACGAAGGGGGCUAGCGUUGUCCGGAAUUAUUGGGCGUAAAGGGCUCGCAGGCGGUUUCUUAAGUCUGAUGUGAAAGCCCCCGGCUCAACCGGGGAGGGUCAUUGGAAACUGGGAAACUUGAGUGCAGAAGAGGAGAGUGGAAUUCCACGUGUAGCGGUGAAAUGCGUAGAGAUGUGGAGGAACACCAGCGGCGAAGGCGACUCUCUGGUCUGUAACUGACGCUGAGGAGCGAAAGCGUGGGGAGCGAACAGGAUUAGAUACCCCCGUAGUCCCUGUCUCUUAUAC